rnacentral:rRNA from 1 species
GAUGAACGCUGACAGAAUGCUUAACACAUGCAAGUCAACUUGAAUUUGGGUUUUUAACUUAGGUUUGGGUGGCGGACGGGUGAGUAACGCGUAAAGAACUUGCCUCACAGCUAGGGACAACAUUUGGAAACGAAUGCUAAUACCUAAUAUUAUGAUAAUAGGGCAUCCUAUAAUUAUGAAAGCUAUAAGCGCUGUGAGAGAGCUUUGCGUCCCAUUAGCUAGUUGGAGAGGUAACGGCUCACCAAGGCGAUGAUGGGUAGCCGGCCUGAGAGGGUGAUCGGCCACUAGGGGACUGAGACACGGCCCUUACGCCUACGGGAGGCAGCAGUGGGGAAUAUUGGACAAUGGACCGAGAGUCUGAUCCAGCAAUUCUGUGUGCACGAUGAAGUUUUUCGGAAUGUAAAGUGCUUUCAGUUGGGAAGAAACAAAUGACGGUACCAACAGAAGAAGUGACGGCUAAAUACGUG